CACAACCUUGCCCGCAACUCUCAAGUUAACCUGAACCCGGUGACCUUUCUGCUACAUCUACCAAGCGGUAUGGGGCUGAAUUCCAAACAAAGGUACUGCUGUCUAACCGCAUCAACCCCCCCACCCCCACUCGCACCCAACCCCUCACCCCCUCACCCACCCUCGCACUCAUGCCUCAAAUUGGUUGCACUGGGAUCUGGGAACACCUUGCACACUACGGGACUAAGCCAACGUGCCCCUUUCCCUGUCCCAUCGCGCCCAGCCUGGCCCAGCCUGCCCACUGCCCACUGCCUGGAGCUGCCGACAACAUGACACGCCACGCUACCGCCAACUCCAACCGCCCAGCGCGCGGUCACACACAUAUCGACACGUAUCAUCUUCUUCAGCAAGUGAACAUCCCGGUCGAUGUUUUAAAGCCGCGGCACGCAGUGCACGUGAGCUUGUCAGGUUCACAUCGCGACACCAGUCCGUUGGCCGCUGGCUGCUUGAGGGUAUGAAACUGUG
rnacentral:lncRNA from 1 species